GCGGCGGACGGGUGAGUAACACGUGGGCAACCUGCCCUGCAGACUGGGAUAACUUCGGGAAACCGGAGCUAAUACCGGAUAACACCGAAAACCGCAUGGUUUUCGGUUGAAAGGCGGCUUUUAGCUGUCACUGCAGGAUGGGCCCGCGGCGCAUUAGCUAGUUGGUGAGGUAACGGCUCACCAAGGCGACGAUGCGUAGCCGACCUGAGAGGGUGACCGGCCACACUGGGACUGAGACACGGCCCAGACUCCUACGGGAGGCAGCAGUAGGGAAUCUUCCGCAAUGGACGAAAGUCUGACGGAGCAACGCCGCGUGAGCGAAGAAGGUCUUCGGAUCGUAAAGCUCUGUUGUCAGGGAAGAACAAGUACCGUUCGAACAGGGCGGUACCUUGACGGUACCUGACAAGGAAGCCACGGCUAACUACGUGCCAGCAGCCGCGGUAAUAC
rnacentral:rRNA from 2 species